rnacentral:rRNA from 1 species
UAGUCUCUUAAUUGGUGACUUGUAUGAAUGAUUUGAUGAAAUAUAAACUGUCUCUUUAUUAUUUGUAAAAUUUAAUUUUUUAAUUAAAAAGUUAAAAUAAAUUUAAAAGACGAGAAGACCCUAUAGAGUUUUAUAAAUUUAUUUAUAAAUAUAUAUUUAUAUAUAUAAGUAUAUAAAUAAAUGAAUUUAUUUUGUUGGGGUGAUAGAAAAAUAAAAUUAACUUUUUUUUAAAAAAAACAUGAAUAAAUGAGUAAAUGAUCCAGAAGUUUUGAUUAAAAGAUAAAAUUACCUUAGGGAUAACAGCGUAAUUU